GAGAAAUGAACUUCUAAGAAUCCAUGAAAUGUUCAACACCCUAUUCUGUCCCUAUCAAUAAGCUGCUGGAACAAUGACCCUAGAGUGUGGAAAUACCUGUGUAACUUUAAAUGAAUUAUCAACAAUCAACAUUUUGCCAAGGAAACCAAUAGGUUGGGAUCCCAAUCUUCAAGUCAGUUACACAAAAAAACUCUCUUCAUAGUACAGCCCAAUUAUUUUUGUCAGUUCAAGAAAAAGAAAUCUUUAAUAUUCAAUAGGUUUUCUUCUACUAGAAAAUCCUUACGAAUAAACUGGACCAAGCUCCCAGCCCAGCACCAGGCAUGCAGACAAAUUGAAGUGCAAAAGAAAAUCCCCCUCGAAGCAGAACAGUUAGAAGCUAUUGCAUCACAGUGAUUUUUCUGAACUUGCUUGAAGAUGACUGACCGCACUCAGCUACAUGCACCUUGAUCUCUAAAGAACUCUGAGCCUUCUACUGUGGUAGCAGCAAGGACCUGGGCUUGCUGUCAUCUCAGAAAUCCUAUGUCAGAUGGUGAGAGAGCAGUUCCUCAGUGACAACCGCUGACAAUUCCUCCUCAUGCCAUCUGCAUAAAAGCCAAAGUUCUCAUCACGGGCUUAAGACAAGGUGCGACCAGACUCUCAGUCUCCUACCACACUCCCCCACCCCAACCUGUUCUGCUCCAGCCACACAGGUCCCCCUGCUGUUCCUAAGCUGGGCCUGCCCUUACCUUAGGGCCUUUGCUCUGCCAGUUUCCUCUGCCUGGAACACAAUGACAAAUACCUAUGCAGCUGCCUUCCUUGUGCCCUUUAGUCCUUGCUAAAAUGUCACCUUUCCUAUCAGGCUCACCCUGUCCGUGUUUAAAAUGUCAACUAUUUCUCCCCAAUUCCCCUCACUUUAUUUUUUUUGUUUUCGUGCCUUCAUACUUAUCUUUGAGACUGUGGACGUCCCUUACUUAAUAUGCUCAUUAUUUAUCUUCUGCCCUCAUCUCCUUUGCCUAUCUCACUCAAAGACGUAGCUCAAGAGGCACAUGGUAGGUACUCAUUACGUUUUCAUUGAAUGAAUGAAUGAACGAAUGAAUGAACACAUCCCUAGACAGAAGUCAGGAGCUGAUGAAGAUGGAUGCAUAUGGUUCCGAUGCUGAGAUUUAUGGGACUACCUAAGCCUUUCAAACUGUUACCAGUUUAUUACUAUUAGAGUUACUAAAAUAUCUUUUGUUUUGCUUUUUCCCUCAUGGAUACUUCUCAAAGAGAUCCAGGGUUCCCUUAAUCCUGCAUUGUCUACUUGCAGGAAUGAUUUCCCCCACAGAGCUGCCUGUAAUUGUCAAAGCAGCACUAAUUGGAGCUUGUUCAUGCCCCCUGCCUGAGACAGCAACCACCUUCAAUUCAAAGGCUGGCUACCUGGUGAACGCCAAUUCAGCACCCAGUCAAAGCCGGUUAUACUUGAGUUUUCCUUGCCAGCAGCAUGUUUUCCUGUUUAAUCCGUGUUAACAUUCCAAUUCAGGUUCUCCUAACUGGCACACAUUCUGUCUGACAAACGUUGUCCUUCCCCCUUCUGUCUUCUUUUCUCUUAUAGAAAUAUUAUUUAUUUAUAACAUAUUGUAGCAAACAACUAUACAGCUGAGAGGGAGGCAUACUUCCUCCUAACAAUACCCACAUAUGAUAUAAGGGUGAUUUUUUCACUU
rnacentral:lncRNA from 10 species